AAUGGGCAAACCAAUCGAAAGAUUGGGACGCAAAGCCAAGGACCUUUCCCUUAACAGGAUGGUAGCCGGUUGC
rnacentral:ncRNA from 1 species